AUUGAACGCUAGCGGGAUGCUUUACACAUGCAAGUCGAACGGAGUGGCGGACGGGUGAGUAAUAUAUCGGAACGUGCCCAUUAGCGGGGGAUAACUACUCGAAAGCGUGGCUAAUACCGCCUACUAUUCGAUCUGCCGAUAUCGGAUUAGCUCGUUGGUGGGGUAAAGGCUCACCAAGGCAACGAUCCGUAGCUGGUGUGAGAGGACGACCAGCCACACUGGGACUGAGACACGGCCCAGACUCCUACGGGAGGCAGCAGUGGGGAAUUUUGGACAAUGGGGGAAACCCUGAUCCAGCCAUCCCGCGUGUAUGAUGAAGGCCUUCGGGGUGUAAAGUACUUUUGGCAGAGAAGCGGUAUCUGCAGAAUAAGCACCGGCUAACUACGUGCCAGCAGCCGCGGUAAUAC
rnacentral:rRNA from 1 species